UUUUUGAUAAUUAAUUUUUCUUUACGGGAAAUAACGAAUGAAAACAAUGUAAAUUGAUUCAGCUUAAAGGGACUGUUGGUAAAACUUAAAAUAACCAACAGCAUCAAAACAUGCAUACACUCUAUUCACAUGCGUGCUUUUUAGACCUUGUUCUGAGCCAAAUAUUCUUCUUCUUUUUCUAGCUAAAUAUUGAUUAUUUCUAAUUCAUGUUUGGCUUGAGGAUUCAUGCAGCAGAGAAGGAAAGGGAAUCAACAUAAAAUGUUUUUUUAACGGGUUUCCCUUUGGAAUGGAGCAUGUAACAUUUUACAAAAAGUAUCAAUUAAAAUAAUGAAAUUCAGUCGUAAAAUUCGUAGACAAUUGAAAAUACGUCAUAGAAAUCGUAGACAACUGCGACUAUUAGAGUAAAAUUUUGUACUUUUUUCUGCAACAUUUGUUGCGAAAAGUUGUUACAAAAAUCCACUUAGUGGGAUCUUUAUUACACCAUUAUCCAACACUAAACUACUAGGAAAAGGUGCUAAAAAAUGAAAAACAAAUACUGCGGUAUAUUUAUUGAAACUUUAAACCAACAUAAGGGUGACCAGAUCUAUUUAAAAUGCAUUUAAAUAUAUAUAUACAGGGUGGCCCACAAAGAAUGAGUCUUAAGUGACGACUUCCCUGAAACUUUACACUUUAUUUCUGCUCCCCUUUCCAAUCUUUACUAAAUCAUUUAAAGAAAAAAGACCCAAUCUAACUUUAAUAUUAAAAUAUUUAAAGAGUUUUAUAAUGUUUUUAUUCAAGUCUUAUUCUUUUUGGAUGAACCUGAAUGCCUCCCUUAAAUGUGGAAAUAGAAAAUAAUGUUGGAAUGCACAACAUCUCAUUAAACAUUCAGACUACGAAAGGUACAUUACCGAUUUAUCGGCAGCUAGUAUCAGAAUAUGUACAGACUAUAGACAGUGAAAGUACACCGUUUGAAUUAUCCCCUUCUGAAGAGAUUGUUGUGUUUUAAAAGCAAAAAAAGAUUAACUAGACGCAGCUCUGUUUUCAAUUCAUGGAAAUAAAAAAAGCAAAAUAUAGAUAGAUUUCAUUUUUUAAGUGAUCAGAUUGGGAUUGACAGUAACAGCUUGCU